rnacentral:rRNA from 1 species
CCUACGGGUGGCAGCAGUGGGGAAUAUUGCACAAUGGGGGAAACCCUGAUGCAGCGACGCCGCGUGAAGGAAGAAGUAUCUCUGUAUGUAAACUUCUAUCAGCAGGGAAGAAAAUGACGGUACCUGACUAAGAAGCCCCGGCUAACUCCGUGCCAGCAGCCGCGGCAAUACGUAGGGGGCAAGCGUUAUCCGGAUUUCCUGGGUGUAAAGGGAGCGUAGUCGGAAGAGCAAGUCUGAUGUGAAAGGCUGGGGCUUAACCCCAGGACUGCAUUGGAAACUGUUGUUCUAGAGUGCAGGAGAGGUAAGCGGAAUUCCGAGUGUAGCGGUGAAAUGCGUAGAUAUUAGGAGGAACACCAGUGGCGAAGGCGGCUUACUGAACGGUAACUGACGUUGAGGCUCGAAAGCGUGGGGAGCAAACAGGAUUAGAUACCCUGGUAGUC